rnacentral:pre_miRNA from 11 species
GGUCCUCAAACUUGGCAACUUUAAGACUUGUGGACUUUCAGAAUUCUGGGAGUUGAAGUCCACAAGUUUUAAAGUUGCCAAGUUCUGAC